rnacentral:lncRNA from 1 species
GGUGGGUGUCGCGGCCCAUACAAAUUUGAUUGCAUAUGAGAAAUGCAGUAUAGCUAGGAAGUGACUCCUAGGUCGUCUCUCAAGGACCAAAUGUGGUUCGAGAAUUAGGUCUAACACGAAGUGGGGGGGUUUGUGAAAGGAUUGUGAAUGCGGAUAAACUAAAUUAAAACACGGAUGCAACAUAAAUGCAAAAACAAAAUUGCAAACAUAGAAGUAAAAUCAGAGCAGCAUAAACAUAAAGACAGUCCAGGAAUCUCAAAGAAACAAUGUAAUUUUUAUUAAUAUUAAUGACCAACCCGACUAACCUAAGCUAACAUGACAACUACAUUAACGAAAACUAAUGUGAUACAUUUAAGAAACAAUUGAUAAAUCAACAUUGCAAUUAACGAUAUUAAAAGGAAUUAUUUAAGCCAAAAGUGAAAUUCUCAUUAUAUUCAAAUAAAUUAAUAAAAGAAAAGAAAAGCCAAAAUAAAAGAAAUGCAUGCAGCGGUAAUUGCAAAAAGAGAUGGUAAAUAUUGAAAUCUAUGUGUUAGAAUUAUUGGUUAGUGUGUGUGAGUUCUGUGUGAGCUGUGUGUAUCUUAAUGGUAGAAUAAUUAUUAAGUCUAUCUAUGUUAGGGUAGUUAGAAGGACUAAAGUAGGUAGUAGUGUAUUGGGUUAUCUAUAAUGAUUGUACCUAGCAGUCUAGGACAGUCUUUUGACCUUCUAUCUCCCUAUUGUAUUAACUCUUUAUCAAUAUAAAUGGUAGAACAUGAGGAGGGUCUAUAAAGCCCUUUAGAAGUAUAUUUUCUCUGUAAUUAACCUCAACACUAUGAAUACUAUAUUAGUAAAAUAAAACAUUCAAAAGGAGAAUUGUAAAAACAAUAAUUUAUCUCGGUAAAGCAUAAAGUUAAUAAAGAUAAAUCAAUAAAGCUCAAUGAACAAACAAACCGUACAGUAUUAUAAUUGAAAUUAAAAUCAACUUCCUUAAAAAUAAUAAGAAAAAGGUGAGCUUCCCUUUGGUCAAACCACUGUCCACUUCUCACUUCAACCAUAGCCCUCCAUUGCCAAAUACCUAGUCUCCCAUGCUCCAAAGAAAAUUCAGAAUAUUAUGUGCAUGUGACAACUUCCCCUCUAGCAAUCCCGAGACAAUAGUGUAUGCCCCCCUUUUCUCCAUGAAAAUUAAAAUGUUCAUUCCCCUGCUGCACCGUUUCUCCCAUAAACAAUAAAUAAAAAAAAAACUUUCCUUCACUAAAGAAAUCCAAUCAACGUAAUAAUACUUCAAAAAGAAAAGAAAUACGUGACCAUGAAAAUGAAAUAACCGAGCACUCAACAUUCAUGCUUCUUCCACGGUAACCUUCUUUGCUUUAAAAAUGAAAAUAAAAAUCUUUAGCUUCCAUGAAAUAAAAAUGAAGAUGUGCCUUUUUAAUUUAAAACGAAAUCAAAGCUUAAAACUAAAAGUGCUUCUCUCCAUUUCAUCCUUGCAUCUCAACAACGUUCAACAAAAGCUAAAAACUAAAAAGAAAGUUGCGGCUGUAAGCACCUUGAUGAUGAACAUUAAGGGAAAUAUAAAGCUAUCAAACAGCAAAAAUCAAAUAAACUCGUUCCUAGGUUGCAUCUGGACCGUUCCUCUUCAUUCAACCAAAAUCACCCAAGUGUGAAAACAUGUUCAUAGAGAAAAUGUUGCUCUAAAAAAAAAAUAACGUUCAGCCAAAGCCUCCCAGCAGAAAAAUUGACGGCUAUGUCUCCCAAUCCCAAGGCCAUGAGUCACUAAAAAUAGGGUGGGGUCCACCCAAUUGAAAAACCCUAGGUGCCAAGUCAUCCUACUCUACAAUUGGGCUUAGUCUACACUACCAAAAAUUGGCCCAAAAUUACAAAACUUGGUUUAAAAAGCCUAAUCUACUAAAUUAAAAUUUAAUUAAUUCUAAAUUGUCUUUGUGGAGAGUCUUGAAUGAAUUCAUGUCACUCCAAAUGUUCCAAAUAGUAUUUCCAAAAUUUUCCCUGAAAAUAAUAAUGCAAAUAAUUAGCUCAGAAAAUUCAAAUUAAUUAAAAUUAGAAUUUUCCGUCAAAUUAAGCACAAUUAGGAGAAACGGAAAAUAUCGGACAAUUAAGCUCAAUUCCCUGAAUAAAUUCGGUACAAUAAACUAAGUGAAGUCGAGAAAAUAUCGACUCAUCAAUAUGCGCGUAUAUAAUGACAUGGAUACUGCUUCCCAGAGAAGAUGAUCACACUUUGCUUACAGAUGAAGACAUAUACCUUGUUUGUGCUUUAUCAUCCGGAAUUCAAAAGAAUUAGGUGUUUGUUGUUCGUGAUCACAUGAUGAAGUUCACUAGAAGUAAUGGAUUAUGUCUACUGAUGAGUGCAUAUUUAUGCCCACAUUUAUUCUUUAAAAUUAAAUUUUUUUGAUGAAAUUCAUGUUCUUAAAUGGUUGAUUUUAAGUGAACUUGUGAUGAUUGAAAUUAUUGGGUUUGAGAAUUAAAGAGACAGAAAAAGUGAGUUUUAGGGCAUAAAUUAUUCUUGGAUGUCAUAAUGUUUGUUGAUGCAGCUGAAAUUAGAGUUUAAUUGAUUGAAAGCUUGGAGAAAAGUGGUACAAAUUGCAAUUUAAGGCCCAACAAAUUUUGUUUGGAAAGUAAUAUUCAAAUAGGCCAAACAGUUAGUCUUUCCACUUGCACCCCUGUGUUUACAAUGAUACACAUCUCUUUUCUAAACCAGGCCCAACAAAUAGGCCCAGACAGUAAGCUUUUCCACCUACAAUCCCUAAGUUUCCUAUUCCUACCCCUCCUAAAUCAGACUCCAUCAGAUGUUGCCACGUGUCGCCAAUCCACCACACACACAUUCAGCCAAUGACUUGCUGCCACAUCACCAUCCCUGCCACGUCAUCAUCUCCUUCAACCCUUCUCCAGAAACCUAAUCCUCCUCUGCACCGCCGCACACUCUGCCACUACCCAACCUUACAUGAGCCACCACUACUGAAACGCCAUGGUCUCGCCGUCAAUCGCCCAAGGCCGACAUUGCAUAACAACCACCUUCAUCUUCUUCGCGCUACCACCAAUUGCAAAACCUAGACGUGAGUUCUCAACAGAAAUCGCAAAGCGCGAAUCGCAUCAGCCCCAGAAUCGCGAUUCCUUCGUCCUCCACCACCAAGCGUGAUUCGAUCUCCUUCCAAACCUGCAUCAAAGCUAGAUCUGCAAAUAAAGCAGAACCCAAAUUCAAGAACAAUCGCGAAUCGCACACCAUUCAAGCCGCCACCUAUUAACGGAUUGGCAAGCGUACCAAAUCGUUCAAGAAAUAAUAAAUGGUAAGUCCAAGUAUCGUUUCCCAAGAGACUCGAAAGGCCUUAUCGUUCGUGUGAAUUAAGAUCGUAAGACUUGAAAAUAAAACUUAAUUAAUUGGGUAUGAGAACAAAAUAUAAACAUGCAAAAGAGAUAGAUUCAAUUGACGAGAAGAAAACGAUGGAUGAAUGGAGUUUUUGGGGGUUUACAAUUUCAUCUUAUUCGCUCUCUCUUAUUUACUCCUCUUGAUUUAUUUGCUUGAUUAACUAAUUGUUAUGAAACUUUCUUGGCCUACCCUUAACCCGAUCCCUCAGCGAAAAGAGCCUAUUACUAAUUACUAGCUUGCUAUCCCUAGCUUCCCCUAGCAAUUAAUAAUGCAUUAUAGAGCAGAAGUGAAAAACAAUUGAUCGUCCUACCCCUAUCCCUAGGUGCUAUUGCUUAAUCAAGGAAUCACUCACCAGUUCAUGACAUUACUAUACGUCCUCGUAUCAAUAAAGACAAACAACAGUUAUCGAAUGAGUUAAACGAUAAAAGCAUUAAGCAUAGAUGAGAACCCAACAAUUAAUAAUCAAAGCAUAUGGAAACCAUAUAAAUAAACCAGAGUUUCAAUAAAAGAGAGUAUCAAAAGAUUACAUUGUUUCCCCCAACAACAAUGGGGUUUAGUUCACCAUUGUCAUGGUGAAUCUAGAUGAAAAAUGGAUGAAGAAUGGAAAAGCAAACCCUAGAUAAGUUGAAAAGGAGCCUCAACAUCCAAGAGAUCCUCUCCAGAGAGUGAAAUUAGGUCUGGCCGCCCCCUUUUGUCAAAAGAAUGAGAUUGACAUCGCAACAGGCCCAAGCCCAGCAGACAACCGCCCGACGUCACACUUGUUUCGCCCGGCGGUUUCCCUCAAACCGCGCGACCGCCCGGCGGUAGGCGUCUACCGCCCGGUGGCAGGGGUCUACCGCUCGGCGGUUUGCCUCUAAUCGCAAAUCUGCCUGGCUGCACCGCCUAGUGCCACUCCUCGCGCUGGACCGCCCAGCGGUGUAAUUUGCCGCCGGGCAGUACGUCGACUCUUCAUUCCUUCAUUUUUCUUCCCUUUUCUAGAGUCUAAGACCUUCAUCUUCAAAUCCAUUCUUCAAUUUCUCAAAAAUGCUACAAAACAAUGCAAAACAAGCAUAAUAUCGUUUAAAAUAGCUUUUGACUCUCUACAGACUCAUUUAUUGAGUUUUGCUCGAUUCUAAGCUCAUUCUAAGCAGUAAAGGGAGUAAUUUGGUCUAAAAUGACAUAUGAAAAUAAUUGUUUUUCAACCUUCAUCACCACCCCUGCCAUGUUCAUCCUCCUUCAGAGAUUACGAAACCUACAAGGAAGCAAAGAACCAGAAACAGAUUCCCAAGCGCGACCUCCUUGUCAUCGUGAGCCUUCAUGGCCGUUGCGAUGCCAACAUUACGAGAGCCGCUGCAAGCCCUCCGUUACUCUCCUCCAUUCGCGACCUGCAAGCAAAGAUUGGGAAACCAGAAACAACCACAAACCCUAACAGGAAGAAGCCUCCGCGAGUCCAUUUCACCAUCACGGCAACAACCAUCUUCUCCUUCGAGAGGAAUUCCUUUCCUUCACGACGCAACGUUGAGCAAUUUUCCCAAUUCACAGAAACCCUAACUUUUGGGUGGGGGAAGGGUUGCCACGUGGCGGGCUCUCAUUGGACGGUCCUUUCUGGUUAAAGCUGGUCAAACAUGUCUUCUCUGGUCAAAGUCUGGUCAACUAAGGGGCUCUUUUGCAAUUCUGAAGAAUUCUUAGGGGCUGAAGUGCAGAUAAAGGAAAUUUCAGGGUUGUUAUGUAAUUUUGGAAAAUUCAGAAAAGCUAAAAGAUAAAAUUCAGUUGUUGAAUUAAUUUAAUUGGGGAAUAUCAAUAGAAAAUAUCUUCCAAAUAAUGUUAUAAUUAUCUAAAUAUUUUAGUUAUUUGGAAGAUAUAAGAUAAAAGAUUUUAUCAACUGAAUAUUCAGAGUCCAAGCCCAAUCAAACUCUAUAUAAAGAGACCCAAGAGACUUCAUUGAUAGACCAUUCCUUUCUCUCUUAUUUCAUCAUUAUUCUACUCCAUUCAUGGAGAGUUAAGCAUCUAGGGCUAUUCUACUCCAUUCAUGGAGAGUAAUGCAAUUGUUUAUUUUGAUUAUUGAUUUAAGUUGCUCUCUCUAUGUCUUUCAUCUCUCUAUCAUAUUAAAAGCAAAUAUUUUUGCAUCAUUAUGUGUUUGAAUCUACAUGCAUAUUAAUUAUAUGAGUUCUAGGGUUUCUAGGUUUAAUUGAGAAUCUACUUUGAUUUAAUUGAGGAACUUUCAUAUGAUUAAAUGAUUUUUACUAUCAAUUGAGAAUGUACUUUGGUUGGUAGUAAUAAUUUCAACUAUAAUCAAUUGAGAAUUUACUUUGAUUGAUUAGCUUUUAAUUUGGUUAAGAGAUUUAAGAAUAGACAUAAUUAAACACAAUAAAAUUGAUUGAGAAUGUACUUUGGUUGAAUUUAUUGUGAAUAAUCUCGAAAGGUCUUGCAUUUGAUUGAGAAUGUACUUUGAUUAAUUGCAUGAUCGCCUUCAAAUUAAUUAAGAAUGUACUUUAAUUAAUUUGAAACUUAAACAAUAAUCAAUUGAACAAUGAUCUGUGAAUAACCAAUGAUGAAUUUAUUUUGGAAAAGCAGUGGCAUAACCUGUUUCUUCAUAAUUUUUUUUUAAGUUUCCUCUUUGUUCUACAACAUUCUUUAAACAUUCUCACUUUUACUCAUAAGCAUUGCAUAGCAUUCAUAAGAGUCAGAUAUUCGAAAGCAAUUUUGUGUUCGUUGGGAGACGACUUAGGGUUACUCUAGCCCUAUAUACUUUCUUGAAUACUACUAGGAAAUACUGAAGUUGCCUUGAAAAGUAGUAUUAAUUUGAUAGCUUCAACGACAGCUUAUCAUCUACCAUAUGGAGUACUCAUCAGCAAAAUAUUAAAAAUGCAAAAAGUAGACAUUACAAAUGAAAGAUUCAUACACUGCAUGAAGUAUAAUGUUUUGGGAACUCAUUUUCUAGACUCUGUUGGAUCAUCAAAUUAAGAGGUGAAUGGACAAUGAUUGAUGACAUUCCAUCUACACUUGAAAUGGAUCCUCUAAAAAUUGAUGCAACAGGAUACAAAUUUCAUCCAUCAAGCAUUUUUGAAGGCCAUGUAGACAGAAGGUUUGACCGACUGGAAAACAAAUUAAACCUAAUGCAAGUAUCUCUGUCGGACCUUCAUAAGAAAAUGGAUUAUCCACUCAGAAUAAAAGCCUUUCAAGAAUCAUCCAUUGGUGAUACGGACAGUGGUAUAAACAGUGUUGACAAGAAAAUUGAGGAAUCAUCUGAAUCAGAAUAUCAUUUUGUUUGUCCAGCUAUGUGUUGAAUCCUAGUCUAGAAUUUUCAUCUUGUAUAAUGGCUUAUUGUGCCAUCUUUUGUUCUGUUUUGAUUUCCUUGUUUCUAUCCCACCAUUGUAAUAUCCUUUUGUUCAAGGAAAUGAAAUUAGUUAUUUUGAAUCAAUCCAAUUACUUAAUCUAUUUGAAUGAUAUCUGAUAUACUGGUUGAUUGAUUCGACUAUGCUCUGUUUGAAGUCAACUUUGCUUAAUCUGUCAUGCAUCUUUACAUAUUGACUUCUAUUAUGAUAUGAUUUAAUUCUUACUUAACCAUUAUUGCUUGAUCUAGAAAAGGUUGUUGAAAGGUUUUGCAGGAAGGACAUUGCUUUGGACAUCUACAAUUGGACUUCAACAUUUGCAAAAGCAAUGAAUUCGACUGAUGAUUUAAAGCAUUCGACGGUGUCUAAAUGGGUUAGCAAUUCCAUUUAUGGAAUUUGAUUCUAUCCUUACUGUUUGCUAAAAUCAUGAUUAAUCUACUAUUAUCUCUGAUUUUAUCUGUUUCAAUAUCUGAAUUGAGAUAAUGUUGUGAGAUUGUUGAUGUUUGUAUCAUUGCAUAUAUAUGUGGUUUGAUAUUCUGACUAUGAUACAAAUAUGUGCUUAAACUGUUGAUAAAUCUGUGAUAUUCUGUAUUAUGCACUUAAAUUAAUUUUGAAACUCAUGCAUAAUGACAGGGGGAGUAUCACUGUUUUUUACAUUGUUUCAUCACACACCUACAUUUCAGGGGGAGUUUAUACUGUGUUUUGUGAUGAACUUGUGAUUUUGAGAGCAUCAUUGUACUUUACAAAUUACAUACUUUACUGAUGCAUCUCUGUGCUUUUCAAAUCUUCAUAAAUAUCUAAAACAUUCCUUUUUUGUUAAUGCACAAAGGGGGAGAGAUUUAUAUGAGUGUAGGAGAGCAAGUUUAUAUGAUUUUUGAAAGGGGGAGAAUAUCUGUCUCAUACUAUAUUUGUGAUAACGGUUGAAAAACAAUUAUUUUCAUAUGUCAAUAGAGACCAAAUUACACCCUUUAAGACUUAGAACGAGCUUAGAAUCAAGCAAAACACAUAAAUUGAGUCAGUCAAGAGUCAAAAGUUGUUUUUAACUAUAUUAUGCUUGUUUUGCAUUAUUUUGUAGCAUCUUUGAUGAAAGAGAAGAAUGGGAUGGAAGAUGAAGGUCUUAGACUCAAGAAGGAAGAAGAAAAAUGAACAGAAGAAGAGUAUAGGAACCGCCCAGCGCCAAAAUCCACCGUUGGGCGGCCAAAUGCGAGGAGAAGCCACUGUCUGACUCCCCGGCGAUGACGCUGGGCGAUUUUGCGGUAAAAGGCAAACCGCUGGGCGAUUUUGCGGGAAAAGGUAAACUGUUGGGCGGUGGAACCCACCGCUGGGCGGUGGUGCGACUAUGGGCAAACCGUCUGGCGGCAUAAGUGUGUGAUGAGUCAUUAUGUCUUGAACUGUAUUUAGUUUAUUGCAGUUAAAUAAACCAAGGAAUUGUGUUUAAUUGUCUAUUAUUUCGCCAUUUUCCGAAUUCUGCUUAUUUUUGUAGGAAAUUCGUAAUUGUGCUAAUUUGGAUUUUCUAAGCUGAUUAAGUGCAUUUUUGGUUGCAGGAAAAUUUUGGGAAACAUCAUUUGGAGCAUUAGGAUGGUGGUUUGCACAUUAAAGACUCAACAUUUAGUCAUUUCAAUUUUAAAUAAAUUGUAAUUUAGUUGAUUAGGAACUUUAAAUAAGCUUUUAUGCAUUGGGCCAACGUUGGCAAAUUUCAUGAUGGGCCCAAACUUUGAGGGACACUUGGCAUAGACUUUAGGGUUUUCUUGGAGGUGGACCCCACCAUUUUUUGGGUGUGGGACGGCUUUGAAGGGCAAUUACCGAGACACACCCUUCUAAGCUCCAACAUUUUCAUUUUGCAUGGUUUCUCAUGAACUCUCUCUUGGGAGCUUGUAGGGUUUUACAUUUUUGAGCAUGGAAUGAACAAAGAAUGCAUUUUUCUUCUUCUCUUGCUUGAGUCUUGUUUAUCUUUGGUUGGUGAAAGUGAAUCCCUAACCCAUUUCCUUUUUAUUUCUUGUUCCUUGAAGUUGAGAGCAUGAGCUUGAGUCUUGAGGUUUCUCCUUGCAUUUUCAUGGUGGGUCUUUGGUUUGAAUAAAGAGAUUUUGCGUUUUGCUUCCCUAUUUGCUGCAGUAUUUUCGUUUUCCAUUUAGUUUCCUUGGUUGGAUGAUGAAAAGGAAGUUCUUGUUGAGUUUUGUAGUGAGGGAAGUUUGAGUUGGUGCAUGGGUGUUUGAUGUUUGGACCCUUUUCUUCUNNNNNNNNNNNNNNNNNNNNNNNNNNNNNNNNNNNNNNNNNNNNNNNNNNNNNNNNNNNNNNNNNNNNNNNNNNNNNNNNNNNNNNNNNNNNNNNNNNNNNNNNNNNNNNNNNNNNNNNNNNNNNNNNNNNNNNNNNNNNNNNNNNNNNNNNNNNNNNNNNNNNNNNNNNGCAAUUGAAACCUUGGGGUAUCUUGAGUGUAUUCUCGGUUUAGAAGGGUGGAGAAAGGUUUUGGAAGCUUGUUUGGUGGAGGAAAACCGAAAAUGCGUGUAGUAAGGAGAGAGAAAUGCACAUUUAAUUUUUUACCUCAUUUUGCCAUGCACAAUAUGAAGCACAUUUACCAUAGAAAGAAUAUUUCCCUUUUGGUCUUGACCCUUUGCUAGAUUGACGUGAAUUGCAUUGAAGAAGAGGAUGGUUGUGUUUGUUUUUAUUCCCUUUGACUUUACACAUGUGGCACCUUGGUAGAAGAGAUUAAAGCACCUUUUCGAGUGUGGAAUUUGGAAGGCAACGUUUGCAACCUUGGAGGAAGUUUAGUCUCGGCAAUUUGGCUUUGGAAGGGUGUUGAUUUCCGAACUUGGACUUUUGGGAGAGAGAAAAGCAUGGUUUUCACAAUAAAAUAGAAGGCACAUGUUUUCUUGGAGAAUGAAGCACAUGGGACAAAAUAAGGCAACAUAUGAAUGGUUUAUUUGAAGAAAGAAAGGGGCAUUUUGGUUGGAGGGCUGCACCUUACGGCCCAAGGGGUUUUGUUAAGCCAUUUGCACUUUUAAUUUCAUUUGGUAGAUGAAUAUUGGUCACAUGAAUGUGUAGGAAAAAGCAUGUUUAAUUAUUCCUUUGUUUUGCAUUAAUUUUCAUAGUAGGAUUAGUUGCUUUUAGUUUUUCUAAUUUAGUUUUGCAUUUUAAUUAAUUUAACUUUGUUAGGUAGUUGUUUGUUGCCUUGUUUGGGUCUAGUAUUUUAUUUUAUUUUGUUUUAAUGUUGUCUAAUAUGUUUGGUAGCGAUAAUUUAACUGUCAUGUAGUUUAGGUUAGUUAGUUGGUCAUUAAUAAAAUUACUUUGUUUCCUUGAGAUUUCUUGGACUGUUCUUGUGUUUAUUCUGCUCUGCCUGAUACUCUAUGAAAUCUGACUGUGUUCUUGCAAUGGGCAUAUGCUUAGUUGCCCAAUUGGUGAUUGUACCUUCGCUUAGUUGGUCGAUCUGUAUAGAACACAUAGGAUGGAAUAGAUGUAUUGCGUUCGCCUAGUUCGUAAUUAUGAUAGCAUGAUUAGCCUUCGCUUAGUCGGUUAGUUGUGCUGGAUUAGAGGCUAGAGUAGUUUAUUCAUGAGACUCGUGCACUUUAAUUGCCUUAUUGCUGCUCUGAUUAGGCUCAAUAUUUAAUCUGUUGUGUGCUUGCGAUUGGGUAUACGCUUAGUUGCCUAAUCGGUGUUUAAUCUUCGUUUAGUUGAUUAGACUGUAUGGUGAAUGACUGAUUAGAUUUGAGUAUUGCAUUCGCUUAGUUUGCAAUUUUGAAGACUGAAUUAGCCUUCGCUUAGUUGGGUGAUUCGUGUUGGAUUUGGAUUAGAGUAGUGUGUACAUGUCGUUGAUCUGGGAUAGGAAACAUUGUAAUUAAGUUAAUGACCAACCGUCUCCAGUCUGUCUUUGAACCUGUUUUUAGAUUUGUGUUUGCAUUUCCGUUUGCGUCAGUGUUUUGAUUUUAUUCAUCCGCAUUCACAAACUUUUCAACAACCCCCCCACUUCUUGUCUGACCUAAUUUUUGAACCACAUUUUGGUCCUUGAGAGACGACCUAGGAGUCACUUCCUAGCUAUACUGCAUUUCUUAUAUGCUCAUUAAAUUUUGCAUGGGGUGCGACCUCCAUCAAAUUUUGGCGCCGUUGUCGAGGACCAACGGUUCGGUUUUAGGUCUUUGUUGUGUUAGUGUGUGUUUGGUUUUGUCUCGUGUUGUGAGUGUGUCAUUUUGUUUGUGUGGUGUCAUGUGUUGUUUCAUUUAGGUAGCUUUAGUUGCAUUCUUCUUUUCCCCCUUUCUUUCUACAUGUCCACCUAUUUUGGUUAUCUGGAUAUUACUUCUUCUGCCUAUGCCUAUGAUUAUGAUUAUACUCCUGCAUGUUACUCUGAUUAUGGUUCUCUUGCUGAUUUUUAUGCUGAGAACAAUAUGACUCAUCCUCUGACUCAUGAGAGUGCUCUUUGGGAUCCGGUUACACAUAAUGAGGAUGAUGUUCAUUGCGUUCUCACUUCUGGACUGAUACAUUUGCUGCCUAAGUUUCAUGGUUUUAUAGGUGAAUGCCCAUAUGAUCAUUUGGAGAGGUUCCAACUCAUUUGCUCUGUAAUGAAACCUCCACAUGUCCCGGAUGGUCGCAUUUUCUUAAGGGCAUUCCUACAUUCAGUAGAAGAAGCAACAUGGGAGUGGCUUAUUCAUCUUCCACCAGAAUUCAGGGCUAAGUGGGAAGAUCUUAAGCAUUUAUUUUUGGACAGAUUCUCCCCUACUCAACAUCAUUUUGAUUCAUAUAGCAACGAUCCUAGGAGGAAUGAUCGUAACCUGGGAUGGUAUGGUACUUCACAGUGUCAAUAUCAAGAACCACCAUUCUAGACUCCUUGUAUGCCUUCUCAACCAGUCCAGGACCUACAACAGAUGCAGUUUUAUGAGCCUGCCCAAGCAAUUCCUUAUCCUUCCACUACUUCUGAGCCUACAUUUGAGGAGUUAUUGAGGUAGAUGGCCAUGUAGAACGUUCAGUUCAUGCAAGAGACCAAAGCGUCAAUUCACAGUUUGAGCUACCAGUUGGGGCAGAUGGCCACUCAGUUCAUUCAAGAGCAGUCUCAAGAUUCAGAGUUACAUUCUCAAACUGUUCAGAAUUUGGAAAAUGAUGUCAGUGUCGUCGACCUAGGAGAUAGGAACCAGAGUCUUGUGCUUUUUAUGCCAUCUACUUUCCCACCUUCCUAUGACCCUACUCUUGCACCCGAGGAGAUAGAUCCUGAUGAAAAUUUUGAGGGCCAGGCAGAUAUGACCAGAUAUUCUAAGCUUGGUGGACUUUAUUCGUCUUCCACGACUGGAAGAGAUUUACUGGUAAAUCCUCCCUUCCUUGAUCCAGUUGUGGAAGACAUCUCUCUUUUAGAUCAAAUAUGGCGGAUGAAGCAGUUUCCCAGAAGCAAUUACUACUUAGACCCAAUGAUGGAAAACACUUCUCUACUGGUUCAAAAUUUUCAACUGCCGCCCUAACUCAGGGGAGUCUUCUUUUUCCUUUCUCCCCCUUUCCCUGCUUAUUUUUCACUUGUCCAUGAUAUGUUGACUGUUCUGAUUUCUGAUCUUAUGAUUGUGACACAUUGAGGACACUGUGUAUUUUAAGUGUGGUCUAUUGGGGGAGACUCUGAUUUUUCUUUGUUAGUUUAUGUUUUCUGCGUUAAAUUUUUUGUUUUCUAGGUAGUUUUUGUUGUGUCUUGUGUACAGUUUUGCAUGUUUCUCUUGAUUUCUGGACUUUGUUUAGGUUGUACACUUGUCUUUCACUUUAUUGAUACUCUGAUUUGUUGGAAAUCCUUACUUUUCUUUGCUUAGAAAGAUGAUUAUGAUGUUUGAGAGGUUGAUUGUUUGUGACAGAAAUACCCUGUGUGAGAAUUAAGCCACUUGAUAUUCUUUCUUGUGUGUGAUAUGUCUCUUCAUUGCUUGCACAUAUGCCUUGGCUUGACUCCUUUUGAUGUUUCUUGAUUGAUAUGCAUGUUUAGAAGUGAUAAAGGCAAUUUUGUUGUUGAACCUCUCUAGCCAGAUGAGCCUACCUUGUUGUGAUCCAUUGAUAACCCUUUUGAGCCUAUGCUUUCCCCAUUUCUUUGUUUUGAAACUCAUACACUAGCCCUAAGUGAAAAACCAUUAUUACCUUAACCUUAGGGAAUUUUGGAGCUUUGGAAUUGUUUUGGGAAAGAGUGUGGUCUCUUGGGAUAUUCAAAUGAAUUGGCUAGUUGGUUCCUCUUCUUGUUUUUGUUUUUGUAAAUAUGUUUUGUACAUCUUGUCCCUGAGUUGUGUUUUGAAAAGAGAGAAAAGAAAAGAGACAAGAUGAGAGAAAAAAAAAAUAGAGAAGAAUGAAAAAAAAUUGUGAAUAAUGUGUUAACAGAUUGACAAGCGUACCAAAUCGUAUCAAGUAAUAAUAAAUGGUAAGUCCAAGUAUCGUUUUCCCAAAAGACUCGAAAGGCCUUAUCGUUCGUGUGAAUUAAAAUCGUACGACUUGGAAAUAAGAAUUAAUUAAUUGGAUGUGCGAAUAAAAUAUAAACAUGUAAAAGAGAUUCAUUCAAUUGACAAGAAGAAAACAAUGGAUGAAUGGAGUUGUUGGGGGUUUACAAUUUCAUCUUAUCCGCUCUCUCUUAUUUACUCCUCUUGAAUUAUUAGAUUGAUUAAUUAAUUGUCAUGCAACUUUCUUAGCCUACCCUUAACCCGAUCCCUCGAUGAAAAGAACCUAUUACUAAUUACUGGCUUGCUAUCCCUAGCCUCCCCUAGCAAUUAAUAAAGCAUUAUAGAGCUGAAGUUAAAAACAAUUGAUCGUUCUACCCCUAUCCCUAGGUCGUAUUGCUUAAUCAAGGAAUUACUCACUAGUUCAUGACAUUACUGUACGUCCCCGUAUCAAUAAAGACAAACAACAGUUAUCGAAUGAGUUAAACGAUAAAAGCAUUAAGCAAAGAUGAGAACCCAACAAUUAACAAUCAAAGCAUAUGGACACCAUAUAAAUAAACAAGAGUUUCAAUAAAAGAGAGUAUCAAAAGAUUAUUUUGUUUCCCCCAACAAUGGAAAAGCAAACCCAAGAUAAGAUGAAAAGGAGCCUAAGCAUCCAAGAGAUCCUCUCCAGAGAGUGAAAUUAGGUCUGGCCGCCCCCUUCUGUCAAAAGAAUGCAUCUAAACUCGGAAUAGGGCUAUUUAUAGGUGAGGAGCGCAACAGAAAACAGGCCCAAGCCCAGUAUACAACCGCCCGACGGAACAAGUGUGGCGCCCGGCGGUUUCCCUCUAAUCGCAAAUUUGCCUAGCGCCCAUGCCAGGUGCCUACUCCUCGCCCUGGACCGCCCGGCGGUGGAAUAUGCCGCCGGGCGGUGCGUCGACUCUUCACUUCUUCAAUUUUCUCCUCUUUUCUUGAGUCUACGACCUUUAUCUUCAACUCCAUUCUUCACUUUCUCAUAAAUGCUACAAAACAAUGCAAAACAAGCAUAAUAUCGCUAAAAACAGCUUUUGACUCUCUACAAACUCAUUUAUUGAGUUUUGAUUUAUUCUAAGCUCAUUCUAAGUAGUAAAGGGAGUAAUUUGGUCUAAAAUGACAUAUGAAAAUAACUGUUUUUCAACCUUCAUCAUAAUGGAGUCAAUAAGAGGAUUGAAUUAGAGGUUUUGGGUGUGUGUGAAUGUGUUUACACUUGUUCCCCAUUGCUCCUCUAUUCUUUUUAGUUUGUAGCUUCUUAUCCAUAUGGUAUCCUCCCUUGUUCUUGGCCCCAUUAUAACCAUGAAAAGACCUUUUGAUUCGAACAUGCAUAUGUGUUUAAGUGUUGACAUUAGAGGCUUGCCAAGUCUGUUUGUGUUUGUUUUCUUGAGUGCAUUGAGUUGACAUUGUUUACCCUAGACAUUUGAGAGAAACACUGAUAGUGUGCAUCUGUGAGGCUCUAUUCUUUUGAUUCAUCUCUUGAACUGAUUGAUCAUUUUGUCAUGCCUUGAGCUGCUUGGAUGAUUUCAUGAGUAUCUGUUUUCCUUUCUUGUGUGUUGGAUACUGUCCACUUCCUUUCACUGUCCAUAUUUCUUGAUAAUUGUGCAAAUCUGUUUUUGAUUUGUGAGUCUUUGUUGUCUGUCUGUCGAGUCUGUGUCACCUCCCUGAUGUUUGAGUAGUUCCCUGGUUUUGCCUAGGAGUGCAAAAGACUAAGUCUGGUCUAUUUUGAUGAGUCAUUAUUUCUUGAACUGUAUUUAGUUUAUUGCACUUAAAUAAACCAGGGAAUUGUGUUUAAUUGUGUGUUAUUUCCCCAUUUUUCGAAUUCUGCUUAAUUUGGUCAGAAAUUCGUAAUUGUGCUAAUUUGGAUUUUCUGAGCUGAUUAAGUGCAUUUUUGGUUGCAGAAAAUUUUUGAGAAACAUCAUUUGGAGCAUUAGGAUGGUGGUCUGCACAUUAAAGACUCAACAUUUAGUCAUUUCAAUUUUAAAUAAAUUGUAAUUUAGUUGAUUAAGAACUUUAAAUAAGCUUUUGUGCACGUUGGCCAAUUUUGGCAAAUUUCAUGAUGGGCCCAAACUUUGAGGGACACUUGGCAUAGACUUUAGGGUUUUCUUGGAGGUGGAUCCCACCAUUUUUAGGGUGUGGGACGAUUUUGAAGGGCAAUUGCCGAGACACAUACUUCUAAGCUCCAACAUUUUCAUUUUGCAUGGUUUCUCAUGAACUCUCUCUUGGGAGCUUGUAGGGUUUUACGUUUUUUAGCACGGAAUGAACAAAGAAUGCAUUUUUCUUCUUCUCUUGCUUGAGUCUUGUUUAUCUUUGGUUGGUGAAAGUGAAUCCCUCACCCAUUUCCUUUUUAUUUCUUGUUCCUUGAAGUUGAGAGCAUGAGCUUGAGUCUUGAGGUUUCUUCAUGCAUUUUCAUGGUGGGUCUUUGGUUUGAAUGAAGAGCUUUUGCGUUUUGCUUCCCCAUUUGCUGCAGUAUUUUUGUUUUCCAUUUAGUUUCCUUGGUUGGAUGAUGAAAAGGAAGUUCUUGUUGAUUUUUGCAGUGAGGGAAGUUUGAGUUGGUGCAUGGGUGUUUGAUGUUUGGACCCUUUUCUUCUUGUGCUUUUGUUUGAUGAUUGGGAGCAAUAUUUUGAGCUGAACUUUGUGCUAUUUACUCAUGGCUGGACGGUCUACACUUGGUGUCUAGGGAUUCCAUUUUGUUUUUCAUAAAAGUUUGAAGAAAAGUGAGUGUUGGGUUGGUUUGUAGUAGUAGAACUUGGCUUUGUUGUUCUUGAUUCACUUUGCAAUUGAAACCUUGGGGUAUCUUGAGUGUAUUCUCGGUUUAGAAGGGUGGAGAAAGGUUUUGGAAGCUUGUUUGGUGGAGGAAAACCGAAAAUGAGUGUAGUAAGGAGAGAGAAAUGCACAUUUAAUUUUUUACCUCAUUUGGCCAUGCACAAUAUGAAGCACAUUUACCAUAGAAAGAAUAUUUCCCUUUUGGUCUUGACCCUUUGCUAGCUUGAGGUGAAUUGCAUUCAAGAAGAGGAUGGUUGUGUUUGUUUUUAUUCCCUUUGACUUUGCACAUGUGGCACCUUGGUAGAAGAGAUUAAAGCACCUUUUGGAGUGUGGAAUUUUGAAGGAAACGUUUGCAACCUUGUAGGAAGUUUGGUCUCGGCAAUUUGGCUUUGGAAGGGUGUUGAUUUCCGAACUUGGACUUUUGGGAGAGAGAAGAGCAUGGUUUUCACAAUAAAAUAGAAGGCACAUGUUUUCUUGGAGAAUGAAGCACAUGGGACAAAAGAAGGCAACAUAUGAAUGGUUUAUUUGAAGGAAGAAAGGGGCAUUUUGGUUGGAGGGUGAUGGGUGUCGCGGCCCAUACAAAUUUGAUUACAUAUGAGAAAUGCAGUACAGCUAGGAAGUGACUCCUAGGUCGUCUCUCAAGGACCAAAUUCGGUUUGAAUCUUAGGUCUAACACAUAGUGGGCGGGAUUUUGAAAGUGUUUUUGCAAGUAGAAUUAACUUAAAUUAAAACUGAAAAGGAAAUACAAUCAAACAUAAUUGAAAACAUUGAAAUUUAAUUAAAAUGCAACGAAUAAUAAAAAAAAAUACUUGACUAAAAAUUAAAUGCAUAUUGUAGGAACUUUCAAAGCCAUCCAUUAGGGAAACAAUAAA